AGAGUUUGAUCCUGGCUCAGGAUGAACGCUAGCUACAGGCUUAACACAUGCAAGUCGAGGGGCAGCAUUUUAGUUUGCUUGCAAACUGAAGAUGGCGACCGGCGCACGGGUGAGUAACACGUAUCCAACCUGCCGAUAACUCCGGGAUAGCCUUUCGAAAGAAAGAUUAAUACCGGAUGGCAUACGAAUAUCGCAUGAUAUUUUUAUUAAAGAAUUUCGGUUAUCGAUGGGGAUGCGUUCCAUUAGUUUGUUGGCGGGGUAACGGCCCACCAAGACUACGAUGGAUAGGGGUUCUGAGAGGAAGGUCCCCCACAUUGGAACUGAGACACGGUCCAAACUCCUACGGGAGGCAGCAGUGAGGAAUAUUGGUCAAUGGGCGAGAGCCUGAACCAGCCAAGUAGCGUGAAGGAUGAAGGCUCUAUGGGUCGUAAACUUCUUUUAUAUGGGACUAAAGUUUUCCACGUGUGGAAUUUUGUAUGUACCAUAUGAAUAAGGAUCGGCUAACUCCGUGCCAGCAGCCGCGGUAAUACGGAGGAUCCGAGCGUUAUCCGGAUUUAUUGGGUUUAAAGGGAGCGUAGGUGGAUUGUUAAGUCAGUUGUGAAAGUUUGCGGCUCAACCGUAAAAUUGCAGUUGAAACUGGGAGUCUUGAGUACAGUAGAGGUGGGCGGAAUUCGUGGUGUAGCGGUGAAAUGCUUAGAUAUCACGAAGAACUCCGAUUGCGAAGGCAGCUCACUAGACUGUCACUGACACUGAUGCUCGAAAGUGUGGGUAUCAAACAGGAUUAGAUACCCUGGUAGUCCACACAGUAAACGAUGAAUACUCGCUGUUUGCGAUAUACAGUAAGCGGCCAAGCGAAAGCAUUAAGUAUUCCACCUGGGGAGUACGCCGGCAACGGUGAAACUCAAAGGAAUUGACGGGGGCCCGCACAAGCGGAGGAACAUGUGGUUUAAUUCGAUGAUACGCGAGGAACCUUACCCGGGCUUAAAU
rnacentral:rRNA from 1 species